CCUACGGGUGGCAGCAGUGAGGAAUAUUGGUCAAUGGGCGGGAGCCUGAACCAGCCAAGUCGCGUGAGGGAAGAAGGUACUAAGUAUUGUAAACCUCUUUUGCCAGGGGACAAAGGCGGCCACGGGUGGGCGUAACAGGGUACCUUGAGAAAAAACCACCGCUAACUCCGUGCCAGCAGCCGCGGUAAUACGGAGGAUGCGAGCGUUAUCCGGAUUUAUUGGGUUUAACGGGUGCGUAGGCGGGGUGUCAAGUCCGCGGUAAAAUGUCGGGGCUCAACCCCGGCCUGCCGUUGAAACUGGUGUUCUUGAGUGGGAGAGAAGUAUGCGGAAUUCGUGGUGUAGCGGUGAAAUGCAUAGAUAUCACGAAGAACCCCGAUUGCGAAGGCAGCAUACCGGCUCCAAACUGACGCUGAGGCACGAAAGCGUGGGUAUCGAACAGGAUUAGAUACCCCAGUAGUC
rnacentral:rRNA from 1 species